AAACAGUUGAAUGUGAGCUUUAAAACAGCUACAAAGGAGGAACUCUGCUAAUGUGUGCGGAGAGAUGGGGUUUGUCUGCAGUCCUGCUGCUGUGAGCGCUCCACCUGCUUCCUGUCAGACUCGGGCUAGCGUCAUGAACACUUUAUUGUAAAAGUUAACAUCAGUUAUUUCCUGUUUAACGUCUGCUUUUGGACCCAGCUGACUUUGUGCUGAAACAGAGACAGCUUCAUGCUGUCACCAGCAAUGAUUUCAUCUGCUUCUGUCUGCAGGAACUGAUGUAGAACAUUAACCACGUCUGGUCCUCUGGCCUCCACGGCUGUAGCUCGGGGGGUGGAGUAGGUCAUAUCCUAAUUGGAAGCUACGGCACCACCUGGACCUGCCGCCAUGCCGUCUGAGGGACCAGCCCGAGCUGGAGGUCAGCGCGCUGAAGGGUCCACAUCCAGCACGCCCUUCACAUCCAGCGCGGCCUGCAUGUCAUGGAUUGUUUACUGUGCUACACUGUUGACCCCCAGAGCUGCCAGGGCCUGGGUAUAGGGACCCAGGGCUCAUGUAUCUUUCUGUAUAUAUGUUUAUUUUUCCGUGUGGUGUUUUGUUUUCUCUCCUUGUCUCUCCGUGUGUGCUUCCGGAUGUUUUGGGUCACCUGAGGGAUCGUGACCCUGGAAGUGUUUCUGCCUUUGAGGCAGACACAUGUGCCGCUCGUCAUCCUAAGCCAGCUGCAGCAGAUUACGCUCGUCAAGGGAACUGUAUUUAAGACUGUGGCUGAGCGCAGGCCGACGCUGGAUCCUUGAGUCAAAACUUGAAUUGGGGAGUGGAGUGUGUUUUUGAAGUCAUGGUGUGGGAACAGGAGUUUUUGGAGUCGCUACUUUUUUCGCCUUUCACGGACAUCUGCACUAUGUGGGAUUCAGAGAGAAUCGCCACGGGGCCAGAACUUGUAUAUAGUUGUGUUUUUCCACCCUCUGUCAAUAAAUCCACUGU